CGGCAAUGGAGGAAACUCUGACCGAGCAACGCCGCGUGAACGAUGAAGUACCUCGGUAUGUAAAGUUCUUUUAUUAAGGAAGAAAAAAGAGUGGAAAAACUCCCUUGACGGUACUUAAUGAAUAAGCCCCGGCUAAUUAUGUGCCAGCAGCCGCGGUAAUACAUAAGGGGCGAGCGUUAUCCGGAAUUAUUGGGCGUAAAGGGUGCGUAGGCGGUUUAAUAAGUCUAUAGUUUAAUUUCAGUGCUUAACGCUGUUGUGCUAUAGAAACUGUUUUACUAGAGUGAGAUAGAGGCAAGCGGAAUUCCAUGUGUAGCGGUAAAAUGCGUAAAUAUAUGGAGGAACACCAGAGGCGUAGGCGGCUUGCUGGGUCUUUACUGACGCUGAGGCACGAAAGCGUGGGGAGCAAACAGGAUUAGAUACCCUGGUAGUCCACGCCGUAAACGAUGAGUACUAAGUGUCGGGUAAAACCGGUACUGAAGUUAACACAUUAAGUACUCCGCCUGAGUAGUACGUACGCAAGUAUGAAACUUAAAGGAAUUGAAGGGACUCCGCACAAGCGGUGGAUCAUGUUGUUUAAUUCGAAGAUACACGAAAAACCUUACCAGGUCUUGACAUUUUCUUGCGAAGUUAUAGAAAUAUAAUGGAGGUUAUCAGGAAAACAGGUGGUGCAUGGUUGUCGUCAGCUCGUGUCGUGAGAUGUUAGGUUAAGUCCUAAAACGAGCGCAACCCUUGUCGUUAAUUGCCAGCAUGUAAUGAUGGGGACUUUAACGAGACUGCCAAUGAAAAAUUGGAGGAAGGUGGGGAUUACGUCAAAUCAUCAUGCCCCUUAUGAUCUGGGCUACAAACGUGAUACAAUGGUUGAUACAAAGAGUAGCUGAA
rnacentral:rRNA from 1 species